UACGUAGGGUGCAAGCGUUUGUCCGGAAUUAUUGGGCGUAAAGAGCUCGUAGGCGGUUUGUCGCGUCGAAUGUGAAAACCCGGGGCUCAACCCCGGGCCUGCAUUCGAUACGGGCAGACUAGAGUUCGGUAGGGGAGUCUGGAAUUCCUGGUGUAGCGGUGAAAUGCGCAGAUAUCAGGAGGAACACCGGUGGCGAAGGCGGGACUCUGGGCCGAUACUGACGCUGAGGAGCGAAAGCGUGGGGAGCAAACAGGA
rnacentral:rRNA from 1 species